rnacentral:lncRNA from 1 species
ACCCAGUAAACAGUGUCUAACCUAUAGGCUUCAAGUUAGUCUUCUGGUGACAAUUACAGGUAAUGGAACCACACCUUCUGCUUCAGGGACGUGCUCCCCUCCCAGGUGGACACUCGGCUCCCCCACAGCCUGCUCCAUCUUGAUCAGAGAGGAUACAGAAAGCAGAAGAUUGCCUGGACAUCCAAGAAGGAUGUUGCAAUGUAUUCAGGGGAGGAAGGAUCCUGUGUACUCCAACAACUGCAGCAUUUUGGCCACCAAGCUUUGUUAUGGUGGAUCCUGACCUCCCCCUUUUAUCUUUGGGAUAAGUAAAUCAGAGAGGGCUUGUCACCCUCAGUGAAUUGACCAAGAAAUACCAAGGAUGGAGCUGUAACAUCACCUGUGUCGGUCAUCUUGGAAGUGGGGAGCAUUCAGAGGAUAUUUUCAAG